CACAGCUCCUGCGUACAAAUGAUGUAGGCUGCCAAACAGAUGGCCCUAUCAUUUUAUCUAAGGGAACACAACUGUCUUUGAAAACAAUGAGGUCCCACCUUCGAAGCAAAGAUCCGACUGGUUCUUUUGAUGGCAGUGAGCCUGGGUCCCCUCUGCCAGAACCUGCUGCUGCUUCUGCUUCCUCUGCCGGCCCUUCAACAUCUGCUGCUGUACCCACAGCGCCACCAAGAAGAAGAGCUCAGAGAAGGCCUAGGGAGCAGCGCCACCUCCACACUCAGAGGAUGAGCUCUUCCUCUUGAGUCUGGUCCCUUCCCUGCAGAGGUUGCUGCCUCAGACGAAAGACUUCGUCAAAUUUCAAAUACACAAAUUAAUUAAUGAAAGCAGCACAGUUCUGCUUAAUUUGGAACAAGUGGAGCCUACAGAGUAGUUUUAAAAAAGAGGCAGCAAUCUCUGCAGGGAAUGAACCAGACUUUCUCUCCUUUCUCCUCUCCUUCACUUUGGCCCUCACUCUCCUUUUUAUUCCUGCAUGUAAAUAGUUGUAAAU